rnacentral:rRNA from 1 species
UACAGAGGUGGCAAGCGUUGUUCGGAAUUACUGGGCGUAAAGGGCGCGUAGGCGGUUCUGUAAGUCCCGCGUGAAAUCCCCCGGCUCAACUGGGGAACUGCGCGGGAAACUGUGGGGCUUGAGUUCGGGAGAGGGAAGCGGAAUUCCGGGUGUAGGCGGUGAAAUGCGUAGAUAUCCGGAGGAACACCGGUGGCGAAGGCGGCUUCCCUGGAC